rnacentral:rRNA from 1 species
UGGGGAAUAUUGGACAAUGGGCGAAAGCCUGAUCCAGCCAUGCCGCGUGUGUGAAGAAGGUCUUCGGAUUGUAAAGCACUUUAAGAUGGGAGGAAGGGCAGUAAGCGAAUACCUUGCUGUUUUGACGUUACCGACAGAAUAAGCACCGGCUAACUCUGUGCCAGCAGCCGCGGUAAUACAGAGGGUGCAAGCGUUAAUCGGAAUUACUGGGCGUAAAGCGCGCGUAGGUGGUUCGUUAAGUUGAAUGUGAAAGCCCCGGGCUCAACCUAGGAACUGCAUCCAACACUGGCGAGCUCGAGUAGGGCAGAGGGUGGUGGAAUUUCCUGUGUAGCGGUGAAAUGCGUAGAUAUAGGAAGGAACACCAGUGGCGAAGGCGACCACCUGGGCUCAUACUGACACUGAGGUGCGAAAGCGUGGGGAGCAAACAGG